UUUCCUACGGGACGCAGCAGUGAGGAAUAUUGGUCAAUGGGCGAAAGCCUGAACCAGCCAAGUCGCGUGAGGGAUUAAGGCCCUAUGGGUCGUAAACCUCUUUUGUCAGGGAGCAAGACCUUUCACGUGUGGGAGGUUGGAGAGUACCUGAAGAAAAAGCAUCGGCUAACUCCGUGCCAGCAGCCGCGGUAAUACGGAGGAUGCGAGCGUUAUCCGGAUUUAUUGGGUUUAAAGGGUGCGUAGGCGGGACCUUAAGUCAGCGGUAAAAUUGCGGGGCUCAACGCCGGAGAGCCGUUGAAACUGGG
rnacentral:rRNA from 1 species